CUCUACUGUCAUUCAUUUCUCCCCCUUGUAUUAUUUUUCCCUUUCCCCUCACUUCCUCUUGUAUGUACUUUUGUAUAACCCUGAGGGUCUCCUUCCAUUUCCAUGCAAUUUCCCUUCUCUCUCCCUUUCCCUCCCACCUCUCAUCCCUGUUUAAUGUUAAUCUUCUUCUCAUGCUCUUCGUCCCUACUCUGUUCUUAGUUACUCUCCUUAUAUCAAAGAAAACAUUUGGCAUUUGUUUUUUAGGGAUUGGCUAGCUUCACUUAGCAUAAUCUGUUCUAAUGCCAUCCAUUUCCCUGCAAAUUCUAUGAUUUUGUCAUUUUUUAAUGCAGAGUAAUACUCCAUUGUGUAUAACUGCCACAUUUUUUUUAUCCACUCGUCUAUUGAAGGGCAUCUAGGUUGGUUCCACAGUCUUGCUAUUGUGAAUUGUGCUGCUAUGAACAUCGAUGUGGCAGUGUCCCUGUAGCAUGCUCUUUUUAGGUCUUUAGGGAAUAGACCGAGAAGGGGAAUAGCUGGGUCAAAUGGUGGUUCCAUUCCCAGCUUUCCAAGAAAUCUCCAUACUGCUUUCCAAAUUGGCUGCACCAAUUUGCAGUCCCACCAGCAAUGUACAAGUGUACCCUUUUCCCCACAUCCUCGCCAGCACUUGUUGUUGUUUGACUUCCUAAUGGCUGCCAAUCUUACUGGAGUGAGAUGGUAUCUUAGGGUGGUUUUGAUUUGCAUUUCUCUGACAGCUAGAGAUGGUGAGCAUUUUUUCAUGUACUUGUUGAUUGACUGUAUGUCCUCCUCUGAGAAGUGUCUGUUCAGGUCCUUGGUGACAGGAGGUCCUUUGGACUGCCUUUCCCCACACCCUGUCACCUCACCCUCCAAACACCCUGUUCACUUGGUUCCUUUUUCUUGCUUGGCAAAGCUUUCCCACAUCCCCUGGUCAGAGGCCAGGCGAGUUUCUCCACCUUGCUCUCAUGCCCUGUGCGUGCUCCUCCCAAAGCACCAACCGUACUGUAUUGUCCUCCUCCAUUUCUGUCUCUCAGGGGGUUGCUCAGUUUCAAUAGACAUUAGACAAAUGGUGCAUGAAAACUACUCUCAUUCUGGGCCUCAUUGUACUUACCCGUAAAAUGGGAAUAAUAGCUGAUGGGGUUGAGGGUUUACUGAAAAUAUAUUUCUGAAAGGGCUUGGCAGACUGUACCUGUAUGGAUUGGUUUGAGGGGAUUUCUAAUUUUCAGAUUGUCCCAAGCAUCAGCUUAAAAUCUGUAGGGUAUAAUCUCUACUUUUCAAAUUUUCACACCCAGGUCUUAACUAGGAGGAGCAAUAGCAGACUCCACAGUCAUCGAAAAUACUUAAAACAUGAGGCACUGUAUGUUUCCUUAUGUUUAUACUGUGUUUUAAAAAGUUGUUAAUUGAUGAUCAAAAUUUGUCAGAAUACUUUAUUGUAAUUGAAUCUCUCAAUUUCAUGUUUCAAAAAGAUUUGCC
rnacentral:lncRNA from 1 species